GGGGUGAGGAAAGAGGUGGAUAAGAACAGGCACGUUUUAUCAAAGAUAAUUGACUGUGUUAAAUUCUGCGGGGCCUUUGAGCUGGCCUUGUGUGGCCACAAUGAGACCGAAUCCUUUGACAACCCUGCCGCUGGACAGUGUGUUGGAGUGUCAAAGGCACCUCAAAGACUGUGCAAAAUGAACUUUUGGACAACAUGCUGUCAGUUCUUAAAGAUCACAUUCUGGAGGAAGUAAAAAAUGGCAAUCUUGCUAUUCAGGCAGAUGAGACAGCAGACAUUUCCAACCCCCAUGCCAGUUGGUGCUUGUGCUACGCACCGUGCACCACCCCAGGGACACGCCAGCUCUUCAUUUGUGACUUAUUAUGUAGCUUUUCCUUUUGCACUCACUACAUUUUACACUCACCCACACACUCAUGACGCUCCUGAUAAUACUGAUUUUCACAUUUGUUUUGAAGUUUAUGUUUAUGUUUAGUUGAUACAAUAAAACCCUUAAACUUA